UNUGAAGUUAAAGGCUGUGGCUUAACCAUAGUACGCUUUGGAAACUGUUUAACUUGAGUGCAGAAGGGGAGAGUGGAAUUCCAUGUGUAGCGGUGAAAUGCGUAGAUAUAUGGAGGAACACCGGUGGCGAAAGCGGCUCUNUGGUCUGUAACUGACGCUGAGGCUCGAAAGCGUGGGGAGCGAACAGGAUUAGAUACCCUGGUAGUNCACGCCGUAAACGAUGAGUGCUAGGUGUUAGGCCCUUUCCGGGGCUUAGUGCCGCAGCUAACGCAUUAAGCACUCCGCCUGGGGAGUACGACCGCAAGGUUGAAACUCAAAGGAAUUGACGGGGGCCCGCACAAGCGGUGGAGCAUGUGGUUUAAUUUGAAGCAACGCGAAGAACCUUACCAGGUCUUGACAUCCCGAUGCCCGCUCUAGAGAUAGAGUUUUACUUCGGUACAUCGGUGACAGGUGGUGCAUGGUUGUCGUCAGCUCGUGUCGUGAGAUGUUGGGUUAAGUCCCGCAACGAGCGCAACCCUUAUUGUUAGUUGCCAUCAUUCAGUUGGGCACUCUAGCGAGACUGCCGGUAAUAAACCGGAGGAAGGUGGGGAUGACGUCAAAUCAUCAUGCCCCUUAUGACCUGGGCUACACACGUGCUACAAUGGCUGGUACAACGAGUCGCAAGUCGGUGACGGCAAGCUAAUCUCUUAAAGCCAGUCUCAGUUCGGAUUGUAGGCUGCAACUCGCCUACAUGAAGUCGGAAUCGCUAGUAAUCGCGGAUCAGCACGCCGCGGUGAAUACGUUCCCGGGCCUUGUACACACCGCCCGUCACACCACGAGAGUUUGUAACACCCGAAGUCGGUGAGGUANCCUUUUAGGAGCCA
rnacentral:rRNA from 1 species